GAUGAACGCUGGCGGCGUGCCUAAUACAUGCAAGUCGAGCGAACAGACGAGGAGCUUGCUCCUCUGACGUUAGCGGCGGACGGGUGAGUAACACGUGGAUAACCUACCUAUAAGACUGGGAUAACUUCGGGAAACCGGAGCUAAUACCGGAUAAUAUAUUGAACCGCAUGGUUCAAUAGUGAAAGACGGUUUUGCUGUCACUUAUAGAUGGAUCCGCGCCGCAUUAGCUAGUUGGUAAGGUAACGGCUUACCAAGGCGACGAUGCGUGGCCGACCUGAGAGGGUGAUCGGCCACACUGGAACUGAGACACGGUCCAGACUCCUACGGGAGGCAGCAGUAGGGAAUCUUCCGCAAUGGGCGAAAGCCUGACGGAGCAACGCCGCGUGAGUGAUGAAGGUCUUCGGAUCGUAAAACUCUGUUAUUAGGGAAGAACAAAUGUGUAAGUACCUAUGCACGUCUUGACGGUACCUAAUCAGAAAGCCACGGCUAACUACGUG
rnacentral:rRNA from 1 species